GAAGCCGAAGCCGGAGUCGAAGUCGAGAACGUAGUGCCGCGCGUUUUCUACCGGAUGACAGUUCAUAGGGAUUAUCGCGAUUGUAUCGUGUCAUAUUUACAAAACGUCAUUUUCUUGCAUGCUACUGUCACGACGAUAAUAUUUAUCGGACAUUUUUCUCCUUCAUAAUACGAUACGGUGUCAUCGUUGUUAUGUCAAACGCUGGAAUCGCGAUUUCGUUCUUUGAUUAAUUUAAUGUCGAAUUUGCAACGUGUAUCAGCAUUUUUGCUGUCUGGUACCUUGGAUUUGAUUUAGAUUGUGCAAGAGAGAAAAGAAACGCAGCAGCGACACCAACUCGUUAUUCGCUUCAUUUACGUAAUGUGUCAUGCUAUUAGUUUGCGUAUCCGCGAUGAAAAAGAGAAUGAAUACGACCGAUCUGUAGUGUUCCGACAGAAGUUAUGGUUACUAAUGUAUAUGCAACUGUACACUUUGAUAAAUAAACUUGAGUCAAUGAUUGAAAGAUGCAGUGAUAAUAUUUACGUAAAUAGAAGAGAUGCGAGAUGCAAUCUUUUACGAGAUCCUUUUACGAAAUAGCACAAGCUGAUUUCAUAUACGUUUUUCAAACAUGAAAGUGCAACCUUUGAGUCAAAGAGACACCAAUGUCGAAGAAAAAAGCUGACGAAUCGGCGUUAAAAACACCAACUACACACACUCAUUCAAAAUCUCAGUGUCUAAUGCGAGCAUGCUGUUAUCGCAUUUUAUUUAUAUUAGACCUCGUUGCGUUGCAGAGUUUAUCAAAAUGGAUUUUGCGAUGUGGAUUAAGUUGGGUUGUCGAACGUGCACUUAUCGAUUCGUCUGGUACUUUUUGUCGAACUCGUUAAACAUUAUGAUAACAAGAGUUAUCUGUGUCAUUGUAGAGGAAAAAAUUAAAGAGGGAGAGAGAGACGGAGGGGAAGAGGAGGAGAAGAAAUGGAGAAGAAAGGAGAGAAAAAGGGAGGGAAUCAUUAGUGAAGAAUAACGCGAGUUGCACCGCGAGUUUGAGCAAAAACUUUUAAAGCUCCGAAACUAAUCCGAGUCGGUUCGUAAACGUUCGCGCGGACUUAACUGCCGAUGACACGUAGCAUUGCAAUUUCUGUCUCGUAUGUGUAUCGUGUAUGAACACACAUGUACAUAAGCACCUACCAUCAAGGACGCGUGCGCCACGGACACUUGUGUGUAAUUCGAUACAAUUCGCACUAAACUACUAUUCGGCAUAUAUGGUUCAAAUUUAAAAUGCUCGGGUAAGAUUGAUCACUCUCUAUGAUGAUUCUUAAUUAUAUUUUUCAAUCGCAACGACAUCUCUCAAUUCGUUCCAUCGUAUUAAGCUACAUAUCGCAAUCACAAAUAAAUAAAAGUAUGAAAACAUUCAUCUUUAAUCGAAUUUCAAAUUCUCGCGCUCGCGCUCGCGCUCGCGCGUAUUUCGAUUUUAAAGAUAAAUAUCUCGAUAUAUUUGUGUGCGUCACAUACACACACAUGUAUUUUAUUGUAUAUUUUUACACGUAAUAAAUUAUCGAGUCUUUUUAUCCA